UACGGAGGGGGCUAGCGUUGUUCGGAAUUACUGGGCGUAAAGCGUACGUAGGCGGCUUUGUAAGUUAGAGGUGAAAGCCCGGGGCUCAACUCCGGAAUUGCCUUUAAGACUGCAUCGCUUGAAUCAUGGAGAGGCGAGUGGAAUUCCGAGUGUAGAGGUGAAAUUCGUAGAUAUUCGGAAGAACACCAGUGGCGAAGGCGACUUACUGGACACAUAUUGACGCUGAGGUGCGAAAGCGUGGGGAGCAAACAGG
rnacentral:rRNA from 1 species